GACCGUCAACACACAGAGUGACAGCGGAGAUACAUCGCGAUGAGCUAACUGAAUCCCAGGCGUAUAACCGCAUUGUCGCCGGGCCCAUGCCUCGAGAGUUGGAAGGAAUCCAUUUUACCCAGUCCGAUUAUGAUUUUAACGGCCACGGGCUCUUCGAACCCGGCUAAUCCUAACCCUUAUGCAGGAGAAUUAGCGAGCAUUCUCUCCGAACCGGGCAGACAGCGAAUGCCUCGCGAAGGGAGGCUUCGGCGUAAAAGGAGACGUGAUAUAUAAUUUCUUUGGGGUCUGCGCGACAGAGGACAGGAGAACCUGACGAUGCAUACAUUGUAAUCAGUCCUCCUGACUCUCCCGUUCGAGCCCUCGUGAAUUCACCGAUUCGAACUGUUCAGGACUCACACAGUGUGCUUCGAGAGGCUAACCACCA